GACGAACGCUGGCGGCGCGCUUAACACAUGCAAGUCGAGCGAAGCGGCGGACGGGAGAGUAACACAUGAGUAACCUGCCUCAGACAUUGGGAUAGCCGCGGGAAACCGGGAUUAAUAGCAAAUGGUCUAAGAUGGCCUCGCGUCUCAUUAGCUCGUUGGUGAGGUAACGGCCCACCAAGGCGACGAUGGGUAGUCGGUCUCAGAGGGUGGACGGCCACAUUGGAACUGGGAAGCGGUCCAGACUCUACGGGAGGCAGCAGUGGGGAAUAUUGCACAAUGGAGGGAGCUAUGAAGAUUCGAUGCCGCGUGAACGAAGAAGGCUUUCGAGUCGUAAAGUUCUUUUAUAUGGGCAGUGGUACCAUAAGACAAAGGCCCGGCUAACUACGUGCCAGCAGCCGCGGUAAUAC
rnacentral:rRNA from 1 species